UCUUCUCUGGACUCCAGGGAAGAGGUUUGGGAAGCUGGGAGUCGGCGCGGAAAGUGAAGGGAUCCCAGAAUGAUGAUAUGUGAAGGGUUUUCCAAGGUCAUCUAUUUCUAACUCUCUUGAAAUCUUUAAAGACAUCGGGCCUGAAAAGUUCAGUGACUUGCCCAGGGAAACCCAGUUUGUUUGUUACAGAAUCAGGAAAACAGUGCACUUCGCCCUCUCACAGCUGAACCACAGUUCUCUACUCUCCCAAGAGCAGAAAAUGAACAUACCUCAGGCAUCAGUGUCAUUCAAGGACGUGACUGUGGAGUUCACCCAGGAGGAGUGGUGGCAGAUGGACUCUGCUCAGAGGACCCUGUACAGAGAUGUGAUGUUGGAGAACUACAGCCACCUCGUCUCAGUGGGGUACUGCUUUACAAAACCAGAACUGAUUUUAAUGUUGGAACAAGGAGAAGAUCCAUGGUUAUUAGAGAAAGAAUUUGUAAACAGAAGUUCCCCAGAAGAAUCCCAACCUGAUGAACUCUUACAGGAGAGCCUAGAAAACCAAGGCAAACAUUUGAGGCAAGUUUUAUUUGUCAACAAAUCAUUGACUACAGAGCAAGAAAUUUCAAGAAAACUGUGUACUCUGGACAUAAACAUUUUCCCUGCAAAAACAAUGCCUUGUAAAUUUGACACUACAGGGUCUACUUACUUGCUUCUUAGCUCAUUGACCCCACACUGUCAGUAUUCAAGAAAGAAGGCUUAUGAGCUUAAUGUAUGUGAGAAUUGGCUCCUCAGUAUUAAGGAUCGCAGAACUAAUACUGGAGAGAAAUCUUUUGUUUAUAGUAAAAGUGUGAAAGCCUUUGGACAUAAAGACAAAGUUAUUCAGCAUCAGACAAUUCAGACUUUACAGCAAACUUUUGAAUAUAAUGAAUGUGGAAAGGAUUUUCUUGAAAAGACUGCCCUUGUUACAUCUAAGGAUACCCACCCAAAAGUGAAAUCUUAUAAAUUCAGUAAAUUUGGGGAAAACCAAUAUGAUAAAUCAACCUUGAUAAUCUCUCAGAGCAAUCAUCCAGAGGAGAAGAGUCACUAUGAGUUUAAUAAAUAUGAAUAUACUAUCGAUAAAAACAGAAAUAAUUUCAAUAGGAUCACUCAAAGAACUGACACAGAAGGGAAAUCUUUCAGCCAAAAAUUACACAUUAGAGAACAGCAAAAAAUUCAUAUAGGGGUGAAACCCUUUGAAUAUGGAAAGAAUUUCAGCCAUAAUUCAACCCUCCAAGUGCAUCAGAGAAUUCACACACUAGACCAGUCCUCUGACUAUGGCACAUGUACAGAAUCAUUGGCUUACCAGUCAACUUUCAAUGUACAUAAGAGAACUCAAAUAACAGUGAAACCCUAUGAGUGUAAUGAAUGUGGAAAAUCCUGCACUAUGACUUCAUGCCUGAUUCAGCCUCAGAAAAGUCACACAGAGGAGAAACCCUAUGAAUGUCAUGAAUGUGGGAAAGCUUUCAGUGAGAAGUCACGCCUAAGAAAACAUCAGAGAACUCACACAGGAGAGAAACCCUAUAAAUGUGAUGGAUGUGAGAAAGCUUUCAGUGCAAAGUCAGGCCUAAGAAUACAUCAGAGAAUUCACACAGGAGAGAAACCUUUUGAAUGUAAUGAAUGUGGGAAAUCUUUCAACUAUAAAUCAAUCCUCAUAGUACAUCAGAGAACUCACACGGGGGAGAAACCCUUUGAAUGUAAUGAAUGUGGAAAAUCUUUCAGCCAUAUGUCAGGCCUAAGGAAUCAUCGGAGAACUCACACAGGAGAAAGACCAUAUAAAUGUGAUGAAUGUGGGAAAGCUUUCAAACUGAAGUCAGGUCUAAGAAAACAUCAUAGAACUCAUACAGGGGAGAAGCCCUAUAAAUGUAAUCAAUGUGGGAAAGCAUUCGGUCAGAAAUCACAACUCAGAGGACAUCAUAGAAUUCACACAGGGGAGAAACCCUAUACAUGUAAUCACUGUGGGGAAGCUUUUAGCCAGAAAUCAAACCUCAGAGUACAUCACAGAACUCACACUGGGGAGAAACCCUAUAAAUGUGAUGAGUGUGGAAAAACUUUCAGGCAGAAAUCAAAUCUCAGAGGACAUCAGAGAACUCACACAGGGGAGAAACCCUAUGAAUGUAGUGAAUGUGCCAAAGCUUUUAGUGAGAAGUCAGUCCUAAGAAAACAUCAGAGAACUCACACAGGAGAGAAACCCUAUAAUUGUAAUCACUGUGGAGAAGCUUUCAGCCAGAAAUCAAACCUCAGAGUACAUCAGAGAACUCACACUGGGGAGAAACCCUAUAAAUGUGAUAAAUGUGGGAAAACUUUCAGCCAGAAAUCAAGCCUUAGAGAACAUCAGAAAGCCCACACAGAGAACUAAACAUAUAAAUGUAAUGAAUAUGGAAAAGCUCUGAGCUGGAAAUCAAGUCUCGCAAUACAAAAUAAAACAUGUAGGAGAGAACCCCUAUGAAUAUAAUGAACACUUGGAAGUUCCUCUGCAAGAUACCAGCUUUCACUAAACAUCAGAGAACUUACACAAGAGAGAAAUUCUUGGAAUAUAUUUUACACAGGCAGUCUCAUCUUGAGUGCAGUCCUCAUUGUAGAUCAGAGAAUUCAAUUCAGCAAAGAAACUCUGUAAAGAUAAUGAAUACAAGAAAUACUCUGUGCAUUCAAUCCUUGGAAAACUCACACUGCAGGAGAACCCUGGGAAUGUAAUGAAAAUUUCAAAACUUUGUCCCAGCAAUCAAAAUUCAUUCAUCAUCAGAGAAAUCAAAAUUCAUUCAUCAUCAGAGAAAUCAAACAGUGAGAAAAUUGAGAAUGUAAUAAAUGUGAGAUAGCCUUUAGCCAAAAGCCAGCUUUCUCAGUAAAGCAGAAAAUACAUAGAGACCUCACAGUAUAUGAGAACAGACAAGAAAUCAGGGUAAUGGAUGUGGGGAAUCCUACUGUAAGUCACACCUCAGUUUGACUAACACAGGGUAAUAACUAUAUGACAUAUAAUGACUUAAUUGUUCACCAAUGACCAUUUCCUUUUUUCUCAUGCCACACCUAGUCUAAAUUUCUCAACUGCUCUGUCAUCCAAAUGAGAUCAUAUUUUUAACCUCUGGAUAGUGAAAUGUAGAAGUCAAUGACAGGUCUUACUAAAUACACCUCUCAAAUUCUUAAUGUUUUCUCCUGUCCCUUGUCAGAAUGGAGUGGAGAUUAUCACCAGCAAAACCAAAGGGGCUCAUGCACGGAAGAUGAAAGAGUACAAAGUAGAAAGAAACAGGGCCAAAGAGUGACUGUUGAAUGAAAUUUUCUUCUGCAUGUACACAGACAUUUUGCUGUGAUGAAAUAAACUUGUUCUCUGCUGGGCUUCUACAGUUUGGGUAUACUUAAUACUGAUAUUUACUCACCAACCCUCAGUUAACAAAGCCUGUGAAUGUGAUUUCUGUGGACAUGUGAACUCAGUGUAGUGUAUCAGAAAUAUCACACAGGAAAAACCCCUGACAACAUCCUGAAUGACCAUAGUUUUUACCCACAACUCUUCCUCCUUGGUCAGGAACUGCAUCCUGAAUUCUCGUGUAAUGGAAUCACUUCAUUUGGUGACCUCUAUGAGAAAAGACGACUUAGAGAUCAGCAGAUGAUUUGGCCCUAAUCGUGGACAAAAGGCAUGGAAUUCUGCAUUCUUCUCCACAGGUGCGUCAGGACAUUAAAAAGACACCAUGUCAAGUAGUAGGCGGUCUCCUGCCAGUGUACAGAGUUUGUGGGGGCAUGACUUGGGCCAGAGUUUGAGAACCCAUCUGGGUCAGUGGAGAAUUUUGACAAGGACCUUGAGAUAAGAUUGAGCUCAAUUUGCAGAGGCCCCUCCAUAUUCCUAAGGGAAAUUUCCAGUCAUCAUUGGUGUGGGCAUGACUAUACUUGUAAAUGCUUCAGCAGAAGGUGAGAUGAAAUCAAAUGGAGUGAUGAGACAAAAGCAGUCUUUUAUUUGGUGGUAUAACUUAUUUUCAUAUCAAAAUUAUUGGAACAGUGCAGAAGCAGACAAUAGUCACAAGAUAUAGGAAAAUAGGUAUAGAAGAUUAUAGUGAAAGUAUGCAAUGCAUUGUACAUAAGUAUGCAACAGAAACCAUUACGUUGCCAUCGAUUUUAAUUGUGAAACUUUAUUCCCUGCAUUAAUGCUUUAUAUCCACAUAUUUAAAAUGGAACUGAGGGUUUCAGGCCUUUAUUUUUCAAUUUGCAUCCAUGUUUUGGUGACUUAUCCUUGGAAAAAGCAAAAUCCAAUGUCUGAUCUCCAUAAAAGGAUGAGCAAUGUCUUAUCCUGAGCCCACAAGCCAAGUGUCUGUCCCAUGGAAGCCCCUUUGCAGCUGGCAGGUCCUGGACAGGAAGGUGACCCUCCUGGCACAGAUAGCACAGAGAUAGAUAUCCCCAAAUAGGCAAACCUGGUAGACUUCAGGACCUCCUGUAAAGCCCUGCUAGUCCCACACUGGAAACACAGCCAGGCUGCAAGCUUUGAGCAGCUUCCCAGAGCAGUAUCUGUAAUGGCUGUUGAGGAUCAGAGCCCCUGAGAUUUCUGAUUCUGCCUGGUUUCACAGAGAGCAACAAUCCAUUGUAGUAACAGUGUGAUGCUGAUGGGGGUUACUGUCUUGCCACUGUGGUGCCAGGGGCUUUCAGGAUCCUGGGGAUCAUUACAGGUGUUUUUGCUGGUCUUGGUACACCACUUGAGGCUGUCAAGCAACGUUUCACAUCCGUCUGCCUUUUCUGUGCGGUCAAGAGCAAGAGUAGCCUCUGUGCUUGAAAGAGUGCAAGGCAGCUGUUGCCACAUAGCAAUACUUUAGCUCUGAACCAUACCUAAGUGUGGACUUCUUUUUGUUUUAAAGACAGUAAUACUCUAUAUGAUACCAGACUUUUCCAGAUAAAACUAUUUUUUUUAAUUUAUUUGGUUGCACUGGGUUUAUAGUUGUGUCAGGUGGGCUCCUUAGUUGCAGCAAGUGAGCUCCUUAGUUAUGACUUGCAGGCUUCUUAGUUGUGGCUUGCCAGCUUCUUAGUUGUGGCAUGCAUGACCAGGGAUGCAUGCAUCCCUGACCAGGGAUUGAACCCAGGCCCCCUGCAUUGGGAGCAUGGAGUCUUACCCACUGCACCACCAGGGAAGUCCCUAAGUGUGGACUUCUUGGCACAUUACACCUACAGAUUCUGCCAGCAUAAUUUUUGUCUGGGUAGGCAGACAGAUUCCUGGUCCUUCCUAAUCCCACCAUCUUCCCUCUAACUCCACCUCCUUUUCAUAUUAUUUAAAUUUACAAUGGUAAGGGACAGUGUUUUGUUUUAUUUCUAUAACAGCAUUUUUAGCCAUAUUAAGUUCUAUUGCUUAUUUCUGAAUGUUCUCCAGUUUGUGGCUUGGAAGUUCUCAGAGCUAAAGUCUCUAUCCUCAAUCACUGUAAAGCCAAGUAUAUAGUUUCUAGGAAGCUAAAUGGUUUGGUCAGGUGUUUGAUGUAUAAUUUAUGUUUUAUUUUAUCUACAGGAUUAUUCUUUAAGCCCAUGGGAAAGAUUUUUAAUUUGGGGGGCAGUUUUCUGAGAGUUAAAUCUCCCUACCCAAUUAUCUGGCAGUCUUGCUGUCAAUUAACAUUAAUUUCACUCCAUCUGGUGAGUCUCAUUAAGACUAUUUGUGAAACUUAAUUAUGGAAGACCUGGCAUCUUUUAUUUCCCUAAUCAGACAUGGCUUUCAGGUGGCCUUUAUUUCUGUGGAAGGACUGUUUAGUGCUAGUAAACCAAAGGCCCCCUGAAUGCCUAUUGACCAUUGGUCAGACAAAUUCAUCAUGAAAAGCUAGUACCUUGGGCUUCCCUGAUGGCGCAGUGGUUGAGAGUCCACCUGCUGAUGCUAGGUGAUAUGGGUUCGUGCCCCGGUCCAGGAAGAUCCCCACAUGCCGCGGAGCGGCUGGGCCCGUGCGUCUGUAGCCUGUGCUCUGCAACGGGAGAGGCCACAACAGUAAGAGGCCCGUGUAUCACAAAAAAAGUUAGUACCUUUUAUUUUUUCAAAAACCACCACAGCUAAUUAGCAUUGGUUGGUUCCUUCAAGUUUCUUAUUGGCAUGUGGCCAUCAAAAUUAAACCACUGCAUUAAAUAAGCAUGUUGCAUUUUAAACUAAAAAUGUAGGGAAAUGUGAAGAGCAAUAUUAUUAAGUAAUGUCAAUCAAAUUUAAUAACAAAACAGAAAACAAUUAACAAAAUGGCAAUAGUAAGUCCUUACCUAUUAAUAAUUACUUUAAACAUAAAUGGGUUAAAGUCUUCCAUGAAUAUACAGAACGGUUGAAUGGAUAAGAAAAACAAAAAAUCCUACAAUAUGCUGUCUACAUUAGACUCACUUGAAUGUUUUAAACACAGGCUGAAAAUGGAGAAAUAGAAAAAAAGAUAUUCCAAGCAAAUGGUAAUCGAAAGAGAGCAGGGGUAGUUAUAUUUAUGUCAGACAAAAUAAACUUUAAGCUGAAACUGGUCACAAGAGACAAAGAAGGUCAUUAUAUAAUGAUAAAGGAAUCAAUUCAAGAAGAUAUAACAAUUGUUUAGUAUUUAUGUACCCUACAUUGGAGCAACUAAAUAUGUAAAGCUUGUACUAACAGAACUAAAAGGAGAGAUAAACAGCACUACAAUAAUAUUAGGGGCCUUAAUACCCCCACUUGCAACAAUGGAUAGAUCAUUCAACAACACUUGUGAAUUAGUGUUCAUUGAACAACUCUAUAGACCAAAUGGACCUAACAGAACAUUCCAUCCAACAACAGCAGAAUACAUUCUUCUAAAGUGCACAUGGAACAUUCUCCAGGAUAGAUCAUAUGUUAAGGCAACAAAACAAGUCUCAACAAAUUAAGGAAGAUAGAAAUCAUAUCAAGUAUCUUUUCUGACCACAGUGGUAUUAAACCAUACCAUACUGACACUUUCUGUGCUUUCCUUAUUCAGAACCUUCACCCUACAAAUAUGUAUUAAGUUAAUUUGCCCCAUAUAUAAACCUAAUAAAUAACCCAUUGUGUGUUCAGUGUAAAUGGAAAUGAAAGACUUAUCCUUUCAGCUUAUUUAUGCACUUUCUCUCCCCUGCCCUUGUCAGGUGGAAGAGAUAGCUAAGUAUCACCACAUCAAUCAAGCACAUUUUCGCAGUGGUAAAUUUUUCACAAACAAACAUUAAUGAUGCCUUUUUUAUUUUGCCAAAGUCUUUUGUUGUUGUUCAUUUAUGUUGGUGAUACAGACAAGUAAGAGUGUAUAAUUAUAUACUAAUCUUUUGAUAUUGUUUGUCAAGAAAAUGUUGAAAAACAAAGCUAGAUAAAUAACAAAUGGAAACUUCUUUAACUAUGUUCAUUUUAUUCUAUUAAUUCAUUUUAUGAUGAUGUGCUAUGGACCCACUGUUUUGUGGCAUUCUACUUCUUUUGGACAUUUAUAAACAUGAUGAGCCAUGAUCUCCAUCCAACCUGUGGACAUGUGGGCAACACUAGAAUUAUGCUCAACCAUUAAGUUUGGUCAGGUUUACCUGGGCAAAUGGAUGCUUAUGUCUUUACAAUCCAAACGUUAAUCAAGUAACAUUUAAUGUGAUAAUUUAUUUGGCCAUAUUUCCAACUAACUGGAAGCAACAUAUUCUGUUUUUCCAUCAUUGUUCUUCAGGCACUUAUUCAUUUAUCUUAAUGGCUCCUGACUGUCUCCUGACAGUAUCUGACCUUCCCCUAACUGUACUAUCACUGAAUUUUAAAGCCAAUUAGUUACUCUUGAUCACAGGCUACAAUGAUCAAUUCUCAGAUUUCCCUACUAUUUCAGUCACUGACAUAGGGAGCCCCUGAAUAAUGCUUCCCAUAACCCCCAUAUCCCUGAUCUUCAAAUACUAAUUUCUGACCACUCACUUGAAUCUCUAACCAUCACAGAUUUUAUGUGUCUGAGUCAUCAAACAACAUUAUAUCCCUUUAUAAUGGACCAUAUUUUUCACAUAUCACUGAACCUUGUGGCAUUCUCCAAUACCCAUUUGUCCGAGCACUAUACCCACAGGUCACUGAUCAAUAUUCAGCAGAGACUAUGAUCAUUGUCAGUCCCUUGCACACAAUUACACAGCUACUCAGAUCACCCAGUAUCUCACCGCCACAUCCCAAGUAGUGAUUCCCCAAAGUUCUCAGUUGCUGUAAGCUGUAGAACUCCAUUUCUUUUAUCCCGUUUGACACCAAUUAAUUGGCCUUCACUUUCUUUGGACAUCAACUGAACAAAACAUUGAAGCUGUGCCUUUAGUUCCAGAAUGGUUGAGGCUGGAGACCGAUUUUGCAGUGAGCUUCGUACAGACCCUGGAUAACACGUUUAGAGUGGUUGCGCUUGCCCAAAGAGAGUAGGUGAAAAAUAGUCAAGGUCAGAAAGUCACAAAUCUAAGAAUAAAGGGAGAUGCAGAGAAGGGUAUACAAGAAAGUCCAAUAAGAACUAUUUCCUGCUGAACUGUGCUGUCCACAAAAACAGACUUAGCUAUGCUCACUGCUAUCUCCUCAGGACCUAGAACAGUAUUUGAUACAGAGUAGGCACACAGGAGACAUUUGUUGGCAGAACUCCCAGAAAUAUCUAUGGAAAACUAGGAAAGUUAGUGUCACAGAUGUCAAGAAAGGAAUUUUUCUAACUGAGGGGAUUGUCAUCAGGACAAAUUCAACAGACUACCAGUAAAACUAGGAAAUCAAAGUUGUAUGAGGUCUUCAUAUAUCAAAUAUAUUAAACUCUUUUCAGACAAAUGUUUUGAAACUUAUUCCAAGGUCAUCAUUUUUUAAAAAAUUAGUGACAAUUUAUGCUUUGGAUAUAUAAUAUGUAAAUGUGUAUAUAUUCAAAUAAAUCAA